ACUUAUUAAAUCCAGUAACACCAUUGGAGCUUGAUGCGAGCGCCUAAUGGUGUGCAUAAAGCAGAGCAGAUCCCUGUCCUCACUUCAAUACAGUGCUGAGAGCUUCUGAUCACUGAACAUCCGUGUUGGUCAGACACUGCCUCAUUGCUCCUCCUGCCAGAGCAAACCCUGCUGUGUAUUUAACACUGGAGGGGCAGAGCGAAUGCAGACUGCUGCAUAGGGAGGUGUUGGGUUAAACACCUUGCUGAGCUGGAAUCUGCAAAGGCUGGAUGUGAGCACUGAUGUGCAGUGCAGAUGGCGGGGCUGUGUGAGCCUUUCCUUCUCAGGGCUCUAUGUUCACCAUGCAAGAGCCAUGCUGCAAUAAGAAGUGGGUGAAGGCAGGCAAUGACAUGGGGAGAAAUCUGGCUGAGAGGAGCAAAGGGGAUUGAGAUGCAGCAGUCUCGCUUUUUGCUUGGGUUUUGGUGAGCUCAGGUCCUUAAGCAGAUGUGAUAAUCAUGGAGUCAUAGAAUAAUGUCAGUGUGAUGCUAGUUCCUAACUAUCAAGGUUUUACCAUAAACAAUGGUAGGAAAAAAAAAAUUGAAAAAAGUACAGGAAUAAUUAUGAAAAAUAUACUGCCAUUUUCCUUUUAAGAAACUUCAGCUUUUUCCUGAAGAAACAGUUUUCCAAGGCAAUUUAGUCAGACAAUGAUAGAAGUGUAUUUAUGUAGCUGAAAAGAUUAGUAACUCUCUUGAGAGAAAACAACAGAUUCCUUCUACCCAUCAGGAAACUGCUGCAAGCUGCAGCCACAGAGUGGGGGGACUGGGCCCAGAAACUGGACCUGGAGAUCGGACCUUACCCUCAGCUGGGCAGGCCCUCCUUGCUCCCAGCUGUCUGUCACCGCCAGCUCUUAUGUAGGCCUCAGCAGCCACGACUCUAAACGAGGAGUCCAAGGGCUCAUGUUUGCACUGCAGAAGUGUUCAGUCAGCACAGCAUAAACUCGUGAAGUGCUCUCCAAACAGGCAGAGGAAGGCUUGCUGAAGUUUCCUCUCCAGUUGUUCCGAAGCCUCGGCCAAAAAUCUCAGUGGGAUUUCCCAGAGGAAUUGCAGACGGAGCUCCCUGGCACAGCAGCACAGUGCUGGGGCUGGAGGUUUGGGUAUUUACUGCCUCAUUGGAGAGCCCCUGGGGCAGAUCCUCAGCACCCAGGACUAGGCAAGGCUGUCCCCAGUCUCACUGCACACUGUUUCCCUCGCCCUUUGUCUCCCCUCUCUGCAUUAUUUCCAUCUUUCUCUACUUGAUAGAAAUCCUGCAAAGGAGAUAUUAGUUGAAUCUCAGUGCCCAGAGUCACUUAACGAUGAGGCAAUCUCAGCUUUUGUUAAAAAUUAAAACUCUGAGCACUUGUGAUUGUAGCGAGAAGGUUGUGCAUGCGAACACUGGGGCUUGUGGAACACAGAUACAAACAUCUAGUGCAUAUAUCUUGAAUGUCAUGGUUUGGGGCUGGAAGAUCGAUGCUUCUGGUAUCACAAGAUUGUCAGUUGUCUACUUGGUUUCAAACUGAGCCGAGGAGUUGGUGUUUGUCUUUUAACAUAGUUCCGACAGGAUUGAUUUUUCUUCCCUCUUGUUCAUUUCUGGAGCCUGAUGUGCUUUGUGGCUUGGACUGUGCAUCUCUCUGUACCAUUGUAAGACUUUAUUGGUGCACAUACAACUACUGGGACAACAGCUGUAAACCAGAAGCAAAUUCCCAUUUUCUUUUUGUUUCAUACUCUGGCACGGUAGACAUUAUAACCUUGGUAUUUUCUGAAAUAAUGCUUUUAAAGUCUUACAUUUUCUGGUAUGAAAAAUAUGAAUAGAAAAAACAAACACCUCCAACCAGUAGCUUUUUUGGUUUAAUAGCCCUUGCUGGGGUGGGUGCCUUAUACCUCUUUUUGCCUGCAAAGCUACAUAUUUCUUUCUGAGCCUUACUCUAAACGUAGGGGUUAUAUUAGGCCAAAGCUGGUUGUCCUCAGCUAGAUUUUAUCUGUGUUUUGUGGUGGGAGAACAAUCUUCCAAGAACUCUGUCUGGAGCACUCACUACCUUUCUGCAGCUUUCUCAGCUUACCCGUUCACAUUUUUCUUCUCUCUCUCUCUGUUUGAAAUACAUGGUAGUGCUUUUAAAUGAUGACAAAAGUCAGUUUUUCAUUACAAACGCAGGUGAAAUAACAAAAAGCAUAAGAAAAUUCUCAGCGAGGAGAGAGGGAGAGGCUCAGGUUGUACGCCUCACAUGGGCUCCACAGUCAAGAAUGACAACUAAAAAGCUUCAGAGGAUUUUCCAUGAUGUGUUUCCACCCUGCAACCCUAAUUAGAAUUACCACAACUCUUCCCCUGUUUGUUGUUGUUAAUGUUUGAUUUUAUUUAUUUUUUUAUUGUAGAUGCCAAGGUGCUAUUGCAGAGCAGCCUGAUGUCUGUGGUGUCUGCGUCCUUCACAGCAAAGCUGUGCCUCUGUGGGGCGGAUUGGGACCUAGGGUAUUUCUUACUCUUUUUUCUCACCCCACAAAUUGCUGCUUUUCAGAUAAACUUGUUGAUAUCCAGACACACUGGAAUGGAAUUAUGAAAGGUCAAGUGGCUAAAGGUCUUUACCCUCCAUUAACUAAGAUACAUGCUACUGUAAUUAACCAUAGAUACCUGAGCUCCAGCCAAAAGAGACCAAGCUACAGGCUAUGGACACAUAAACAUGAAGAAACUCCAUAUAUAUGAUAAUGCUUAAGGGUCAGUAUAGCAGGAAGUAGCAGGUAUCUUGUGACGGAAAGGUGAGUAUCAGCAGGACACAUCCAGCUGAACAGAGGCCACCACGAAUUCCGGGAAUUCUUUAAUUGUCCUUUUGUUAACGUCAUCUGCUUCCAACCAGCCACAGUCCUUUUCAUCAGAGGGUUUGGUAUCAUGGUUUUACUCCUCCACUAGACUGGCUGUGCCCUGCCCUACCUCAUUUUUCUUCCUGCUGGCUUUUUUCUGAGCAUGCAGUGCAGCAGAGAUGCAGCUCUGGUGGUGAAGCACUGGUCAGGGUAGGAGUGAAGGAUAUCCGUGUGGGUGACACCGGCCUCUAUGGGAGAUGUGAUUUAUUGAGGCACCCUCCUUUUCCACCAGAGUGGUGGAAGGAAGGCAGACCCCAGUGUGCCUGAAAAACAUUCUGAGAAAUCUUGGUAAGUGGUUUCUUGGCCUCAGUGUGGGCUUUUUCCACUUAAAGGUACAAUUUAACACUUAAACUAUGAAUUGCUUGGUUCAGGAAUUUCUGCCUUAUGCCUUAAACAUUGAUGGCACUUAAUAAAUAAAGUGCAGCCUCUCUUCUGCCCCAUUCUCCACUGUUUUGCUUUUCUUGUUGCUCACUCCCUCUCUCUCAGUACAGCUGCAGAACUCAUAUGGUUUCACUCCAGGUUACCUGGGAUCACCUCUCAAUCUUUCCUCGUGAUAACUUCUCCCUCUGAGUUUUAAUUUUCAGCACAAAAACACACAGUACUUGGAAAGUGAUGAUAUGAAAGCAGGACGACUGGAAGAAAGGUAAAAUUGAAAAGGCAUGGGAUUGGCUGUGUUGGCUUUUAUUCGGUACACAUUUAUUAAAGGCAUUAUUUAUUUAAGACAUAGAGGAAGCUGCUGCGGAACGUGGCACCUCCUUUGCAGAUAAAUCAAGACUCCCAAAACUUCAGUUGUUAAAGUUGGUUUAAAAUUUUCAUAGAAUAUGUUCAAUUUGGAGUAUAUUCAUUAAUUUUAGACAUAGCUUCUUUUCAGUUAACUUCUAACUGGUUGGCAUUUAUUGCUACUUCACUAUGACUAAAAUACUCAACUGAGAUGAGGCUUCCUUGUACCUGAUGAUGAAUAGAUGGGGAGUUCUCUGUCCCCAAGCAGCUUCACCUCUAGAUACUCAAGGCAACACAACUUGGGGAAGGAAACACUGGGAUAAAGAAAUGCAGGAAUUUGUCAGGAUAGUGAUGUGAUGAGAAACUAAGUCUCCUAACACCUAAGUCUGUGCCCUUUCCACUGGGCUACAGUAAUAACAGCAAUGGGUCCUCCUAACAAGGAGGUAAUUUUGGUAUUCAUAGCAAGAUUAACCAGUGCACCAUGUCCAGUAGAAACGACUCAGAAUUCAUACAUACAAAGGGCACAUUUGUCACAAAUUCAUUGAAUCCUUUUAACCUUUUUCCAUUUAUGUCUGAAUAUUAACACUUUGAGACACGCAGAACUCGGGCUUAACAAGCUGAAAGAGUGAGAUUAUGGAUGUUACCAUGCUCCUUCAAUUUCAUUAAAUAGCAGGCAAAGUAAUUACCAGUUAUUGAGUUCCCUCUCCUCAGAGACAAAGCAAAGGGGCUCAAUUAUUGCUGUGAAACCUGUGAGGGAAAAGAAAUGAGACAUAUUAAAAAAAAUAAUAGUAGCAAAACCACAGUGCAAGUUUGCAUUUCCAAAGGGACCAUGUGCCAUGCAGCCCUACAGAGAGAUAAGCAGUGACUCCAUACGGAUGUGCACAUCCUCUGGUCAACACCCAAGACCUUUGGAAUGAGUCAUGCGUAAUGUCCAGCGAAUAGAAUGAGCAGAACUUAACUGCUGGAUUUGACACAAGGAAACAUGUAUUUCCUUUGUUUCUUCUCUUGCAGGUGAGGCAGAGCACAGCAGAUUGCUCAGUGGUCUGGCUUGCAAAAGAAUUAGAGCUUGUUGCCAGCUUGGCAAGUCUCCAUGUGUCUCAGUGUUUAGCUCUGUAGUAGCUACAUCCUCUGCAAGGACCUGGAGGAAUCUACCUGAGAAAGCUUUGUGCAAGGACUCCUAUGAAUGUGGUCUGUUUUUUUUUUCCAGGAAAAACUCAGAGCAGAACUUUCUUUUCUUUUCUACUGAUGGUACUGGUUGUGUUCUUGAUCAAAAGAUGCAUUUUAAAAUGAAGCUCGUGUUAUUUUUCUUAGGCACAAAUAAAGCUUUUGACCAUUUCCAGAUGACCAUGUAUAAACAGUACUGUAAGGAAAAUGUCAGAUUUUGAAUGUGAAGUUUCAAAGAGCUUCUUCACAAAGGAGAAUCAUCUUAGUUUGCCUGCGAGGAAAUUGGAGGGGCAGGGCAUGGCCACCUACCCCUGAAUGCUACUCCAUUUUAUAUGUCUUUUUAUCCUUUCCUUCUGGCAGGUCAUUAGUCACUAUGACAAAAGUACUUACCAGAUAAGUUGAAACAGGCAGCAUUCACAGCAAUAGGGAGGAAUUCUACAAGUAUUCCAAACCAGGAGUCUUUCAUCUGAAUCCCUUCUCUUGCUCAGUGUCUAAGCAGAGCUGCUUGCACUACAAGGACAACUGCUGUGGGUAAAACUCCUUUGCUGGCAGAGUUACCUAGAUGACUCAGUAGCUCUUCUUCCCUGACAAGUCUAGCCAUUUUGAAGCAUGCACCUGAGCAUGCUGUAGCAGUGCUAAGGGCUCUUGCAAGGAGCCGUGUGUGGUGCCUCCACGCCUGGGUGGAGCAGUGCAGAGGUACAAGAAGAAGAUGCACCCAAAAUAUGGCCCACUCUCCUGUGGGAGCUGAGCCUCUUGUGAGGUCUCCUUGGUAAACCUAAACAAUUCUGCAGAACUUCAGAGCUUAAGGGUCUCUCAGGACAAGGAUGUAUAGUUUCCAUGACCACGUAUAGUUGCCAUGUAAUGAAACUAGAUAGGAGUAUUGAACUGAACAAAAUUUCUCCCUUCACAUCCUCUUUGUCCCUUGUGGAUGUUUACUAUGAGGCCAUUUGUUCAGGUGCCUGUAUGAAUUAGCAUGUAGACACUUAAGUGUGAAAUUCUGUUUAUAGAAUCUGCUUUCUCCAUUAGAGGUGCUUUUUUCCCCCCACUUUAAGUACAGGCUCAUAAUAUUCUCAUAGUUAAAAUUAAAGCUCUCUUCUAAAAAUGUUUCCUGCUGAAGUUGUACAGUGUCCUCAAUACCGUGACGUGAGAUAUUUUCCAUGUUGCAUUGGCUGAAACUACUAUAAUAGCGAUCACACUUUAUCUAGUGGAUUUACCAUGGAAAGAUGGCUAGACCACUAAGAAGAUGGGAAUACAGCUCAAGGGCUUGGGUGGUAGGUCUUCAGGUUUCAUUGUGUACAUAUAAAUAGUCCUGAAAUAAACUGUGAAAAUUGCGAAGCUUUAUGAAGGCAGCUUCAGGAUCAAAACCCAGACACUAGACACUCCUAUGGACUGCCCUGCCCCUGUCUUGCCCACAGCCAAGAAAUCAAGAGGAAAAGGCAGAUAACCAGCUCCAAAGCCUGGAACAGCCCUUGACAGAAAGAACAUACUUGCAGCUGUCAUAGCACUCUGGAGGUCCGAAGACCUUGUUUCUCUUCCUAACAUUUGGAUGCUGAUAAGUCCCUCUGUCCUCCAGCUAAACACAGUUUUCUCUGUGAAAAUGGGAGAUAAUGCUUGCCUCUGCAACAAGUGGAAAAUCUGCAUGAAUCUCAACUUCUUUGAUAAUGAUUGCUAUAUUAAAGCCUAAUAACCAAAACUUCUGGUGCACACCCACAGUUCUCUUCAACUUUCUGUAUUCAUGCUACUUGCUUGAAGGUAGAAUUCCACAGAGAAGCCAGCUGCAUGGUCCUAAUGUGGUAAUUUAGGGGUUUUUGAUGGCAAAUGGUUCCUUUAAAAACAAACAAACAAACAAAAACAAAAUCCAAACAGAAAGAAAGACAGAAGAAGAAAAAGAAAGAUAAAAGAAAGAGAGAAAUACUGUUCUUAAUGCAUGGAAAACCAGUCACUCAAAGGCCAACAUUCCCUAGUUUGCAUUAAAAAAAGAUGUACUUGUAAAAUGGAGAUGAUGGAUGGCUUUGCUGUAGUCACCAGUCACAGCAGUAAAAGCAUGAAGGGAGGCUCUUUGCUGAAAGCAAACACCAAAUAUCAGACAGGUUCUGGCUCAAGACCACUUUAAUUGGUGAUUUAAAACAUGGCACCUUGCUCAUCAGCUCAUGGUUGUCAUCUAAACUAGAAUCAAAGUUAAUCUGAAUGCCAGAAGAUCUCUACAUUUCUGUAUUGAUUUUUCUCCUACCUUCAGUUUCCUCCAAUUAAGAUUCACUAUUAUUUUAUCAUGUACUUAUCCUCCUUUUUAACUUUCAGCGACCAGCAUUCUUUCUCUUAUUUUUUAUCUACCAGAUCAAUAACGGUGGCAAUGGGGUCUUCCCUUCAUAAUUACUUGGUUUAUGUCAACAGCACUGGGGAUCCUGAAGUGGUCUUGCAUCCCAACACUGUUCAGGGGCAGAGCAUUUAAACUUCUAACAUCAGGCAAAGAUGAAGCCAUUAUAUCCGGUAAUGCUAAGGCACAAAUAAGAUUAAGGUAAUAAAUAUCAAAUAUCAAAGCAGCUUCAACACAGCAUCAGCAUCAGAGUUGUGGAAAGAAAGAAUUUUUCUGAUUCAUCAGCAGCUCCAAAGAAUAAAACACUUCCUGACCACUUAAAUGAGAUGUUUUGUUUGAUCCCCAAACGAACUGUUCUAUUUUGAAAUUGAGAUUUAAGAAAAUGUUUUCAAUUUUAUUUCAAAGAAAAUGGAAAGGCGUCUCAAAACAAACAGUUGUUUUGCAAAAAAAAACCCAAAAAACAAAAAACCACCAACAACAACAUCAACAAAAAAAGACCCCUCUGAAACUUUAAUUUCAAAAAUCUUAGCACAGAAGAUUUUGAUUUACAGGAAUUUCUUAGUUUGGUAUGAGAAAAAGUGGAAUGAGACCUUCCUGAAAAGCUUCAGUGUUACCAGGUUUGCAUUUUUCAUCCAUAGAAGGCCUGGUGAAAAAACGUUGCCCACUCGAAUUAGUCCAUCAUUUCAUAAGUCAGAUACCAUUAAUUCACUUUUCCAGUAGCAUUUACAUUUUGAAUGUGAUCGUAAUGCUUUCUGCAGAAGGGGACAGCCCUCCGAAAGACAAAGUCCUAAGCAUUGCUGCAUUCAAACCCAGCACGACCACAUGGAAAUGAUGCAACUCAAGAUUUCUAUUUAUUUAUUAUUAUUUAUUUAUUUCAGAUGGAAGCUCAUUAAAAAUGCAUCCUAGUUUGAAAGAAAGCAUGUAAGUCAUCAGCUGGCUCAAGUCAGUCUAUCUUCCUGUUUCUCUUAUAGGCCUGCUAAUACCUCUAGGCCUUAGCGGGACUGCAGUGUGCCCCUGGACUUGCCACACAGACUCAGUUCCACCUCAGCCAAAGAGGGGCCCACAGAGGAACAAACCUCAGUCUAUCCAGGAAAUGACAAACAAGCCUCUGAGUCAAUUGCACAUACGGAAGAGAAGCUCUUCCCCUGGAGCUGGGAGGUGUUCAGCAGCAGCAGCCCUGCCAGCCGCACGCACGUCCAUCCAGCAGCGCACUGAAGUCAGAGAACAGCGGCGCGGGCUUUUUUUUUCCCUCUUGCCUCUUUGGCAAAACCAGAGUGGGUGGAGACAGACACUUUGGCUCCACGCUCACCUAAAAUCCCUUUCAGACUCCCAGAGCAUUGAGCAACGUGAAGGCAGCAGGUUCUGUCCUCAUUGCUGCAUGUUGACAGCGUGAGAUGAGGAUUUACCUGGAUCAGCCAGUUUCCUGUGCAAGGCAUGACUUGAAGGGCUGUAUCAGCAGUGAGGUGAAGCAGUGAGCCAGCGCUGCUGUGACACUGGGGACACUGGGACGUGUUUCAUGUGGAUAAAGUUGGAGCUGCUGCUCUGAAUCCCAAACUGAAUCCAAGCCCGGGGCCGCCACAUUAAAGCAGCGCGAGGCUCCAGAUCUGGCUCACACCAUCCUGCAGCACACAAGAGAUCACCGUGUGAGUGGAAAGCCUCAGGAGCUCCAAGCCACAAGAAAAAUGGCUGUGCUGUGAAAUUCCAGCCAAAACCACUUCCAUACAGCGCCUGUUAACAGCGUCUGUGCUCCGAUAGUGUGAUGUCCUGACCGUCUCCGAUUUCAUACCUGUUUUCAACCAAAGGAAGAUUUGUGUCAUUUCCAUGCUUGGAUGGCCCCAGGUUGACCUUUCCUACCCAUGUGAAGAAAAUGGUCAAGCCCAACAAGUUGUGGUUCAGGGUACAUGGAAUUAAAGCUGGCCCCCAAGUGUGAAACUGCAACGCGCUGCUUUCUUCUGAGACAGAUUUGCCAAGCUGAAAAGGUUCUGGAGGCAAACGGAUUACACCAGACGUGAACCUGUCUUGCUGUGUUUUGUAAAAUAUUGGGUGUGUAGGAUACAGCUGCCUUCAGGCACGUUCAGCCUGCAGAACCUGUUCACCUUGGUUCUAAAUAAGAUUUACUGCCCUCAACUACAUCACAGGAGCUCUGCUCUCAAUCAGGGACAUAUAUGUGAUAUUAAAAACAUUUCUAGCAUUGCUUUAAACUGUUCAGAAGUGAAAAGAGAUGAUUUCCUGCUUCAGAAAGCAUCUGAGGGGAGCCUGAGGACAAAGGCACGAUGCCAGGGUACAGUACUCAGCUGAGAUUCACUGCAUUUGCAGUGGUUUAAGAUGGAUGUCAUUUCUUACAUAAAGAUCACACAAAAUUCACUGAUGUGUCAGGCUCAGUACAACUGUUCCUUGCAAAUGGAGCACCUGCUACUGCCUGUUUAAGCACAGAAGCCCACAUGCACAUGGAUGCCUGCAUCUACUCAUGGACACCAAAAUAUUGCUGACGCUAAAAGUAAUCCUGAAUGACUGAGAUUCUCAUUCCAUUUCAAUGGUGAACAAAGAACACCAGUAGCAAAAGCUCUUGCUUCUGUUCUGUGGUCAUAAUGUACUUCUCUGUUCCAAUCAGUGCCGGGUAGAUCUGUAGAUUCAUAACCAUGAUUAAACUAUAAAUAACCUCUCCAAAUCCCUAA